rnacentral:rRNA from 1 species
AUCAACUUUCGAUGGUAGGAUAGAGGCCUACCAUGGUGGUAACGGGUAACGGGGUGUUAGGGCACGACACCGGAGAGGGAGCCUGAGAAACGGCUACCACAUCCAAGGAUGGCAGCAGGCGCGCAAAUUACCCAAUCCCGACACGGGGAGGUAGUGACAAUAAAUAACAAUACGGGGUUCUUUCGGAUUUCGUAAUUGGAAUGAGUACAAUUUAAAUCUCUUAACGAGGAACAAUUGGAGGGCAAGUCUGGUGCCAGCAGCCGCGGUAAUUCCAGCUCCAAUAGCGUAUAUUAAAGUUGCUGCAGUUAAAAAGCUCGUAGUUGAAUUUCGGGACCAAUAUGUCGGUCGUGCCUCGGUACGUACUGGCAUCGUUGGUUUCUCCCUUCUGACGAACCAUGAUGUCAUUUAUUUGGUGUCGUGGGGAAUCAGGACUGUUACUUUGAAAAAAUUAGAGUGUUUAAAGCAGGCUCACGCUUGAAUACAUUAGCAUGGGAUAAUGAAAUAGGACGUUUGAUUCUAUUUUGUUGGUUUCUAGGAUCGACGUAAUGAUUAAUAGGGAUAGUUGGGGGCAUUAGUAUUCAAUUGUCAGAGGUGAAAUUCUUGGAUUUAUUGAAGACUAACUACUGCGAAAGCAUUUGCCAAGGAUGUUUUCAUUAAUCAAGAACGAAAGUUAGGGGAUCGAAGACGAUCAGAUACCGUCGUAGUCUUAACCAUAAACUAUGCCGACUAGGGAUCGGAUGAUGUUAAUUUUUUAAUGACUCAUUCGGCGCCAUACGGGAAACCAAAGUGUUUGGGUUC